GUGAGGAAUAUUGGUCAAUGGACGAGAGUCUGAACCAGCCAAGUAGCGUGAAGGAUGACUGCCCUAUGGGUUGUAAACUUCUUUUAUAAGGGAAUAAAGUGAGGGACGUGUCCAUUUUUGUAUGUACCUUAUGAAUAAGGAUCGGCUAACUCCGUGCCAGCAGCCGCGGUAAUACGGAGGAUCCGAGCGUUAUCCGGAUUUAUUGGGUUUAAAGGGAGCGUAGGUUGACGUAUAAGUCAGCUGUGAAAGUUUACGGCUCAACCGGGAAAUUGCAGUUGAUACUGUAUGUCUUGAGUGUACAAGAGGUGGGCGGAAUUCGUGGUGUAGCGGUGAAAUGCUUAGAUAUCACGAAGAACUCCAAUUGCGAAGGCAGCUCACUGGGGUACAACUGACACUGAGGCUCGAAAGUGUAGGUAUCAAACAGGAUUAGAAACCCGGGUAGUCC
rnacentral:rRNA from 1 species